GGGAGUAUAGCCAAGUGGUAAGGCAAAGGUCUGCAAAACCUUUAUUCCCCGGUUCAAAUCCGGGUACUCCCUCCA
rnacentral:tRNA from 3 species